GGAUCGAUGUUGACGCAUGUAGGGGCGGCGUUAUGGUGGGAGAGGCACCGCUUUCUGAAAGUGUUCGAUGGCGUGUGAAAACUCGUGCCAACGUGGCGACGUAGAGGGAGGGGUGAAAACCGUGGUAAAUGUGGGAACGGUUGUUGAGGAGGAGAGAAAGUAGUAUGGUGAAGUUUCCGGCGGUGGCAAGUAACGUACGGUAGAGUUUGUAGUGGAGCUGGGAGGGGUGAGCAUAAGGGGCGAAGGGAUAAGAAACAUGUCGGAUGCGAUCAUACCAGCUCUAAAGCACC
rnacentral:rRNA from 1 species